GGAGUCUUGUAUUAAUACAUACAUAAGUGAAAGAGUAGGCCCUAAGAUGACAAUUUGUAAACAAUCCUUUUCACAUUGUAUAUACAGGUUCUUAUUAUUCCCAAUCGGGGUCAAAGAAUCCAGCAUCCUUCAUCUCUGAAUAGUAGACAUUCUCCAUGUUCAGAUCUUCCUCCUGCAUCAAAACCAUCACCAAAUCAUUUGAACAUUGCAAUAAUCACAUGCCUAGAGGGAUGCUUUGGUGUAAACGAGUUAAGAAACAUUUUGGGAUAAACAUGAAGGGGCAUGAGUGUAAACGAGUUAAGAAACUGUCCUAAGCUACAGAAGGUGGGAUUAACAGAGAUCAAACACGGUUCAACAACAUAAAAAGAAGACACAACGUUGUGAAAAAAUCUAAUCUUUAAACAAUCCCGAAAGGUAACAACAACACAUACAUAAUAAUCAAGAAACAAGACACAACAAAGCUAACAGAGACAAAACAAGAACACAAACACAUAAAAAAAAACACCUACAUUCUUAAAUCGAUUCACAAGAACACAAGAACAUAUACAUAAACACUAAUCUAUAUGCUUUUUACAGAGACUAACCACAAUCAAAACACAUGCAAAGAAGAAUAAAAACAAAAUUUCAUACCAUGAAAACAAAAUUUCAUAUAAAACAAAGCUUUUGACUUAUCAAGGAUAUAAACCGGAGAAGAAGGAUGUGGAUGUAGAUUCCGACCGACGGAGGAGGCGGUGUUGGAUGGCUCCGAGCACGACGAGACAAAGGAGAUGCGAAGGUGAUACGGAGGAGACGACGCCAUCGAGAAGAAGAGGAAUUAGGUUUUG
rnacentral:lncRNA from 1 species